GAUGAAGAACGCAGCGAAAUGCGAUAAGUAAUGUGAAUUGCAGAAUUCAGUGAAUCAUCGAAUCUUUGAACGCACAUUGCGCCCCUUGGUAUUCCGAGGGGCAUGCCUGUUCGAGCGUCAUUAUCACCCCUCAAGCCCUCGGCUUGGUGUUGGACGGUUUGGUGGAGGCCCCCUCGGGGGUUCCUGCCCCUCCCAAAGACAAUGACGGCGGCCUCGUUGGACCCCCGGUACACUGAGUUCUUCACGGGACACGUAUCGGACACAUGGGUUUACGGGACACGGUCUGCCUCCCCUCAGGGAGAAUCUUUCUAAGGUUGACCUCGGAUCAGGUAGGGAUACCCGCUGAACUUAAGCAUAUCAAUAAGCGGAGGA
rnacentral:misc_RNA from 1 species